UACAUGGGGUGCAAACGUUGCUCGGAAUUAUUGGGCGUAAAGCGCGCGUAGGCGGUUACUUAAGUCGGAUGUGAAAGCCCUCGGCUUAACUGAGGAAGUGCACCCGAAACUGAGUAGCUAGAGUACGAAAGAGGGUCGCGGAAUUCCCGGUGUAGAGGUGAAAUUCGUAGAUAUCGGGAGGAACACCGGUGGCGAAGGCGGUUCUCUGGGCCUGACCUGACGCUGAGGAGCGAAAGCGUGGGGAGCGAACAGG
rnacentral:rRNA from 1 species